rnacentral:rRNA from 1 species
GACGGAAGGUGCAAGCGUUGCUCGGAAUCACUGGGCGUAAAGGGUGCGUAGGCGGCUGUGCAAGUCUGGCGUGAAAGCCCCGGGCUCAGCCCGGGAAGUGCGCUCGAAACUGCGCAGCUCGAGUGCCGGAGGGGAGAGUGGAAUUCCAGGUGUAGCGGUGAAAUGCGUAGAUAUCUGGAGGAACACCGGUGGCGAAGGCGGCAUCCUGGACCAAUAUUGACGCUGAGGAGCGAAAGCCAGGGGAGCAAACGGG